AUGGGUAGCAGUCUGAGUCUGAGCAGAAGUAAAAAGAUCGCACCUGUGUGUGUGGUCGAAAUAAACGUUUCCAAAAGAGAAACCGAGUCGCCGGAGGAAACAGUCGCCCCUGCUCCGAGAUCUCCCGGGGAUGUGAGGAAUUCUUUCAGGCGAUUUAAAUUCCCAAACUUUACAAACGGUAGCAACUUUUCCAAAGUGGACUGUAGAAGACGCGGAUCGCCUCGAUCCACCGAGAAGGAUGAUGAACAUCGAGGGAAACCGGAGCGAACUCCUGCUGCUUGUGAUGAUGAGCAUGGGAAUAUUUCUAAAACCAAGAAUGGACAUAAUAAGAAGUCUUUCGUCAGAUCCAGGACGUACGGCCUGUGCACUUUUAAACGAGUCAGCUCCAACACGGAGUUAAACCCCACGACGACUCCAUCGCAAGCGUUCACUUCCAGCAAUGAGUCGCGUCGCCAAGAAUGUGGUUGGGAAGACGUAAACAAGAAUGGGAACAGUGUGUUCAGCCACGUGAGGAAACACGCACCAGCCGCAGGCUCCGACCACGAGCACAGAGGCUUGGGUCCAAGUCGUUCUUGUGUGGAACAAGUUCUCAAAACAGGAAACGACUCAUCUUUUGCCAACUGCCUGAACACCCCAGUGACCACGCCCGUCAUUCUGUAUGAUGGCUCUGAGGAGGAGCUGAUGGAUACUAUCGAGAGGGAAUUCAGCUGA
rnacentral:lncRNA from 1 species